UAAGGAACGAUGAGCUCCAUUAAACACCAGUGAAGAAGCGGACCGCGCAAGGCAAUCAAUACUGCACGAGCUACAGAACUUUUUUUGCCUGAGGGAGCCGGUGUGAGGAGGGGCUUCAUCACAGAACACCAUUAUUAAUCUUUGUUAAUUGCAGGUUUCUCCAUUCAAACGUCCCACAGCGGUAUUUUUUCAUCAUUAAGCCUGUGUUUAUAGUGGCGGGAAGCUGAGCUCCAGCGUGAGUAAGAGAUAAUCAAAUAUCAAGAACAUAGUGGUUCAGCUGCAAUAAAAUAGUGUAGAAUAUCUGAUAUAAACUUCAUGAAGCUCUUACUGUCUGUCCACAUCUACAUCUUCAGAAUACACACUGACAAUAUGCUUAAAUAUACGUUUUUAAUAAAUGUAUGGAUUCUCAGA